rfam:Heterocephalus glaber contig210604, whole genome shotgun sequence.
CUGUGUGCAGUGCCCUACUCAGAAAUGUACUGGUCACAAAGAGCACACAGAACCAGUACCUUCCUGAGUAGAGUAAGGCUCACCAA